rfam:Rasamsonia emersonii CBS 393.64 ctg1118621760106, whole genome shotgun sequence.
GGGACAGUGGCGCAGCAGGGAGCGCGUUGCACUGAAGAUGCAGAGGUCACCGGUUCGAUCCCGGUCUGUCCCA